CAGGUCUAUCCAAAUUCAUGGACUGCAAUUUACGUACCUUUGAACAAUGUGGGAAUGUGGAAUGUGAGAUAUGAGAAUUGGGCCCGACAGUACUUAGGCCAGCAGUUCUAUCUUCGUGUAUACUUCUGUAUAAUCACAUUUCACCUAUUUAAUUCUAAGAUUCUAAGCACACCAAGCAGCUUUUGACAGAAGAUGAAACUUCAACAUUCUCAAGUCUCCAAUCACUCUAAGCAUCGCCGAUUCUGAAUCAGAAAAUGGGACAGUGCCUUGGUUAUAUCUAGGCUGACCAGUUUACUGUUGCAAUCAGAGAAACUUUUGGGAAUUUGAUGAUGUGCUUGAACCUGGUUGUCAUUGUUUGUCUUGGUGUUUGGGUAGCGCAGUAGCUGAUCAUCUCUUUCUACGAGUGCAGCAAUUGGAUGUUCGCUGAAACAAAGACAAAUGUUCAUGUGCUUCCGUCCAUUUGGGAUCUUUACUUGGGUUUCCAGAGCAUUUUUCUCAGUUGUAUUUUUUGACUUUGAGUGAAUGAUGUUCCAAGCAAAAGCGGAGACAAGAAAAAAACAACCCCGCAGCAACGCGCGGGAAUGACAACUAGUG